CCAACGGCCCUCUUUAGGGCCACACUUAUUGAAUAAGACUAUAAU
rfam:Steinernema glaseri strain NC unplaced genomic scaffold GLAS_6324, whole genome shotgun sequence.